rfam:Arthrobacter sp. RIT-PI-e NODE_27_length_39592_cov_22.3942_ID_53, whole genome shotgun sequence.
CGCGGUCCUCGGUAGUGGUCUCCGGAGCCGGGACGCACCCGUCUCCGUGGAUCUCGAUCGAAGACCGGA